rnacentral:rRNA from 1 species
UAACCGCUGGAAAUUAAGCAUAUCAAUAAGCGGAGGAAAAGAAACCAACAGGGAUUGCCCUAGUAACGGCGAGUGAAGCGGCAACAGCUCAAAUUUGAAAUCUGGCUCUUUUAGGGUCCGAGUUGUAAUUUGCAGAGGGCGCUUUGGCGUUGGCAGCGGUCCAAGUUCUUUGGAACAGGACGUCACAGAGGGUGAGAAUCCCGUACGUGGUCGCUAUCCUUCGCCGUGUAAAGCCCCUUCGACGAGUCGAGUUGUUUGGGAAUGCAGCUCUAAAUGGGAGGUAAAUUUCUUCUAAAGCUAAAUACUGGCCAGAGACCGAUAGCGCACAAGUAGAGUGAUCGAAAGAUGAAAAGCACUUUGGAAAGAGAGUCAAACAGCACGUGAAAUUGUUGAAAGGGAAGCGCUUGCAGCCAGACUUGCCUGUAGUUGCUUAUCCGAGCUUUUGCUCGGUGCACUCUUCUGCAGGCAGGCCAGCAUCAGUUUGGGCGGUUAGAUAAAGGUCUCUGUCACGUACCUCUCUUCGGGGAGGCCUUAUAGGGGAGACGACAUGUAACCAGCCUAGACUGAGGUCCGCGCAUUUGCUAGGAUGCUGGCGUAAUGGCUGUAAGCGGCCCGUCUUGAAACACGGAUCAAGGAGUCUAACAUCUAUGCGAGUAUUUGGGUGUCAAGCCCAAGUGCGUAAUGAAAGUGAACGGAGGUAGGAACCCUUUGGGUGCACUAUCGACCGAUCCUGAUGUCUUCGGAAGGAUUUGAGUAAGAGCAUGGCUGUUGGGACCCGAAAGAUGGUGAACUAUGCUUGAAUAGGGUGAAGCCAGAGGAAACUCUGGUGGAGGCUCGCAGCGGUUCUGACGUGCAAAUCGAUCGUCAAAUUUGGGCAUAGGGGCGAAAGACUAAUCGAGCAGCAGGGA